UAUAUUUUUUAGAAAUUUAUUAAUAAAUAAUUUUUUUAAGAUAAUAAGGAAACAUUAAUCUUCAUUCAGUUGUUAACCCCAUCUAGCGACAACGAUCCAUAUUAAUUCAGUUUUGACAUUUAAUCCCUACGAUGACAUUUCUUGCUAAAAUUAUUAAAUUUUGCCAAAAAAUAAGUUUAAUUGAGCUAAAAUCCACAUCAGAAUACGUUUUUGGGCUCUCAAACUAAUCAAUUAAAGUGAUUAUGGACUCUAAGAAGUGAUUUAUCUCAGAAAUUAAAGAAGAAACGAAAACAUAACCUAACUUUUAAUAACAUUCAUAUGAGGUACGUUAUAUCGAAGUUUGUAUAUAAAAAAUGUUAAUUCUUUCGGCGUCGAAGGUUAAAACGCUUUCUUCAACUCCUUCCCCGUAGAAAAAAAAUGAAAACAAAAUGCGCAACAUUAAAAUAGAUCGCAACACGAUCGAUUUCUUGAAAUGCACGGCCGUUAAUCGCAUUGAAGCGCGAACGACGUGAGUCGAAUUUAAGUUAAUUAGGUCCCCCUUAUAAUUUAACAUUGAGAAUUAAAAAACGGAUUUAAAUUGUAAAUUUGAAAACUGUAUAAGAAAUAUUUAGAUAAUAUAAGGCGAGAAAAUC